rnacentral:lncRNA from 1 species
UGAAUACAGGAGCAUUGUCAUUGGUGUCCACGACUGUUAUUUGAAUUGUGGCAGUACCAGAGCGAACCGGGUCGCCUCCGUCGAAGGCGGUGAGAACCAGCAGGAGCCUCCUCUGGGACCGAGCUUGUGAGGGAAGUGACUGAGAUUUCUGGGGCGUUGUCAUUCACAUCCAGAACCGUGACAAGAAUCUUGGCUCUUGAAAAAAGACCUGGUCCGUCUUGUGCUUCAAUUUUGAUUUCAUAGAAUACAGCGUCCUCAUAAUCAAGACUUUUUAAUAUUGAUACAUCUCCAGUCACUGAAUUGAGAUGGAAAAUCUGAGCAAUUUUCCCAGGCAUUUUAUCUAGAAUGUAGGACACUUGAGCAUUGAAUCCCUCGUCAGGAUCAGUGGCAUUCACUGUGGUCAGCCGCGUGCCCACUGGCACAUUUUCCAGAACACUGACACGGUACUCUGGCUUAGUAAACACGGGCGGGUUGUCAUUUGCAUCCAAGACUAUCACUUGGAUGCACAACUUGCCGGUGUGGGCAGGGUCUCCGCCAUCAGAGGCAAUGAGAUCAAGCUGAUGGACUGCCUUUUUCUCACGAUCCAGGGCUCGCUCCAGCACCAGCUCUGGGUACUUGGCGUCAUCGAUGACGCUGUUCACAGCCAAGGAGAAGUAGUCAUUGGAGUUGAGCUUAUAGUUCUGCAGGGAGUUCAUGCCCACAUCCGGGUCAAACGCAGUUUUAAGUGGAAAUCGGGUUCCAGGAACUGUUAGUUC